rnacentral:rRNA from 1 species
UGGGCCCUACGGGGCGCAGCAGUCGAGAAUCAUUCACAAUGGGGGAAACCCUGAUGGUGCGACGCCGCGUGGGGGAAUGAAGGUCUUCGGAUUGUAAACCCCUGUCAUGUGAGAGCAAAUUAAAAAGAUAGUACCACAAGAGGAAGAGACGGCUAACUCUGUGCCAGCAGCCGCGGUAAUACAGAGGUCUCAAGCGUUGUUCGGAAUCACUGGGCGUAAAGCGUGCGUAGGCUGUUUCGUAAGUCGUGGGUGAAAGGCGCGGGCUCAACCCGCGGACGGCACAGGAUACUGCGAGACUGGAGUAA